CAGUAGCCGCGGUAAUACGAAGGGGGCUAGCGUUGCUCGGAAUUACUGGGCGUAAAGGGAGCGUAGGCGGAUCGUUAAGUUGGGGGUGAAAGCCCGGGGCUCAACCUCGGAACUGCCUUCAAUACUGGCGAUCUUGAGUAUGAGAGAGGUGUGUGGAACUCCGAGUGUAGAGGUGAAAUUCGUAGAUAUUCGGAAGAACACCAGUGGCGAAGGCGACACACUGGCUCAUUACUGACGCUGAGGCUCGAAAGCGUGGGGAGCAAACAGGAUUAGAUACCCGGGUAGUCCCUGUCUCUUAUAA
rnacentral:rRNA from 1 species